rnacentral:rRNA from 1 species
AUUGAACGCUGGCGGCAGGCUUAACACAUGCAAGUCGAGCGGGGUGAUGGUGCUUGCACUAUCACUUAGCGGCGGACGGGUGAGUAAUGCUUAGGAAUCUGCCUAUUAGUGGGGGACAACAUCUCGAAAGGGAUGCUAAUACCGCAUAUGUCCUACGGCAGAAAGCAGGGGAUCACUUGUGACCUUGCGCUAAUAGAUGAGCCUAAGUCGGAUUAGCUAGUUGGUGGGGUAAAGGCCUACCAAGGCGACGAUCUGUAGCGGGUCUGAGAGGAUGAUCCGCCAAACUGGGACUGAGACACGGCCCAGACUCCUACGGGAGGCAGCAGUGGGGAAUAUUGGACAAUGGGGGGAACCCUGAUCCAGCCAUGCCGCGUGUGUGAAGAAGGCCUUAUGGUUGUAAAGCACUUUAAGCGAGGAGGAGGCUCUUUUGGUUAAUACCCAAGAUGAGUGGACGUUACUCGCAGAAUAAGCGCCGGCUAACUCUGUGCCAGCCGCCGCCGUAA